UAGGGAAUCUUCGGCAAUGGACGAAAGUCUGACCGAGCAACGCCGCGUGAGUGAAGAAGGUUUUCGGAUCGUAAAACUCUGUUGUUAGAGAAGAACAAGGACGUUAGUAACUGAACGUCCCCUGACGGCAUCUAACCAGAAAGCCACGGCUAACUACGUGCCAGCAGCCGCGGUAAUACGUAGGUGGCAAGCGUUGUCCGGAUUUAUUGGGCGUAAAGCGAGCGCAGGCGGUUUGUUAAGUCAGAUGUGAAAUCCCCGGGCUCAACCUGGGAACUGCAUCUGAUACUGGCAAGCUUGAGUCUCGUAGAGGGGGGUAGAAUUCCAGGUGUAGCGGUGAAAUGCGUAGAGAUCUGGAGGAAUACCGGUGGCGAAGGCGGCCCCCUGGACGAAGACUGACGCUCAGGUGCGAAAGCGUGGGGAGCAAACAGG
rnacentral:rRNA from 1 species